UUCCAUACUCUUCCACCGGUGUAGCAGGUAUCAGUACUUGACGCCCUUUGAUUGCUGAAUAAUAUUCCAUUGUAUGCUGUGCGAAACAGCAUUAACACAGCUCCUGGAGGGCACAGCCUUGCCCUGGGGUACCCCACUGGAAUAGGAUGAUUAGCUGGUGCUGUUCUCUCCUGAUCCCCCCAAUCCCCAGUCCUUUUGGCCUCUGAUCCUUUGAUCUGCACCCUUUGCUGUAAGAAGUCUGAGUCACACACAGGAGGAGAAAACUAAACAGAAAUCGACCGAAGCAGAUCAGAAUAAAACAAUGGAGCCAUUUAAGGUGGAGAUUGGUCACAUGUGUGGGACUAAAGCAAGGCUAGCCCAGAAAAAACAGAGCACUCAAAACAAGCCACCUAAACAAGCUGUUCCAGCCCAAGAAGGCAGGAGACCUGGGCCUGCCACCCAAUGGGCUGCUAGGCAGAGGGGCUGAAAUUGACAUCAUCUUUCCCGGAAUAUAA